GAUGAAGAACGUAGCGAAAUGCGAUAAGUAAUGUGAAUUGCAGAAUUCAGUGAAUCAUCGAAUCUUUGAACGCACAUUGCGCCCGCCAGUAUUCUGGCGGGCAUGCCUGUUCGAGCGUCAUUUCAACCAUCAAGCCCCAGGCUUGUGUUGGGGACCUGCGGCUGCCGCAGGCCCUGAAAACCAGUGGCGGGCUCGCUGUCACACCGGGCGUAGUAGAUUUUAUCUCGCUCAGGGCGUGCUGCGGGUUCCGGCCGUUAAAAAGCCUUUUUUACCCAAGGUUGACCUCGGAUCAGGUAGGAAGACCCGCUGAAUUUAAGCAUAUCAAUAAGCGGAGGA
rnacentral:misc_RNA from 1 species